rnacentral:rRNA from 1 species
UACGUAGGGGGCAAGCGUUGUCCGGAUUUAUUGGGCGUAAAGAGCGUGUAGGCGGCCAGGUAGGUCAGCUGUGAAAACUCGAGGCUCAACCUCGAGACGCCGGUUGAAACCAUCUGGCUAGAGUCCGGAAGAGGAGAGUGGAAUUCCUGGUGUAGCGGUGAAAUGCGCAGAUAUCAGGAAGAACACCCGUGGCUAAGGCGGCUCUCUAGUACGGUAUUGACGCUGAGGCACGAAAGCGUGGGGAGCAAACAGG